GAGAACUAAGAGCUUGCUCUUAGGGAAAGCGGCGCACGGGUGAGUAACGCGUGGAUAACGUACCCUAGGGUUGGGGAUAACCUGCCGAAAGGCGGGCUAAUACCGAAUACGUUCAUUAAAGGGUAGCCUUUGAUGAGUAAAGCAGGGUAACUUGCGCCCAAGGAUCGGUCCGCGUCCUAUCAGCUUGUUGGUGGGGUAAUGGCCUACCAAGGCAGAGACGGGUAACUGGUCUGAGAGGACGACCAGUCACACUGGGACUGAGACACGGCCCAGACUCCUACGGGAGGCAGCAGUGGGGAAUAUUGGUCAAUGGGCGAAAGCCUGAACCAGCAAUGCCGUGUGGGUGAUGAAGGCCUUCGGGUUGUAAAGCUCUGUCAGAAGGAAAGAAAAAACCGGUUAACACCCGGUCUUGACGGUACCUUCAAAGGAAGCACCGGCUAACUCUGUGCCAGCAGCCGCGGUAAUACAGAGGGUGCAAGCGUUGUUCGGAAUUACUGGGCGUAAAGCGCGUGUAGGCGGCUUGUUAAGUCGGACGUGAAAUCCCUUGGCUCAACCAAGGAACUGCGUCCGAUACUGAUUAGCUAGAGUAUCGGAG
rnacentral:rRNA from 1 species